rnacentral:lncRNA from 1 species
AAAAAAAGGGUGAAUUGUAGGAAAUAUAACCUGGCCUUCAGUAGAGUUCUGGUGCGUACAAACUUGUGGUGAAGUCUGCUUUCCACAUUUCUGCAUGUGACUCUGAAGUGGAGCAUGUUAAGAAACCAAAAAAGACCACUCUUGGCCCUGGAAAAUAGCAGAUUUAUCAGCAACUUUAACUGUGACUUUUUCACAAGUGGACAGUACUGUGUGACAAAUUAAGCAAAUAAAAUAUUCCUAUCAAAAAUAAAGAAAAAAAGA